rnacentral:tRNA from 1 species
GAUAGUUUAUAUAGCGGUGUUAGGGCACAAAGAAUUUUGAUUUCUUAAGAGAGGCUCAUUUCCUCCUAAUAAG